rnacentral:rRNA from 1 species
GUGGGGAAUAUUGCACAAUGGGCGAAAGCCUGAUGCAGCAACGCCGCGUGAGGGACGAUGGCCUUCGGGUUGUAAACCUCUUUUAGUAGGGAAGAAGCGAAAGUGACGGUACCUGCAGAAAAAGCACCGGCUAACUACGUGCCAGCAGCCGCGGUAAUACGUAGGGUGCAAGCGUUAUCCGGAAUUAUUGGUCGUAAAGAGCUCGUAGGCGGUCUGUCGCGUCUGCUGUGAAAACUGGAGGCUCAACCUCCAGCCUGCAGUGGGUACGGGCAGACUAGAGUGCGGUAGGGGAGAUUGGAAUUCCUGGUGUAGCGGUGGAAUGCGCAGAUAUCAGGAGGAACACCGAUGGCGAAGGCAGAUCUCUGGGCCGUAACUGACGCUGAGGAGCGAAAGCGUGGGGAGCGAACAGGAUUAGAAACCCGGGUAGUCC